rnacentral:rRNA from 1 species
CCUACGGGCGGCAGCAGUGAGGAAUAUUGGUCAAUGGACGAGAGUCUGAACCAGCCAAGUCGCGUGAAGGAUGACUGCCCUAUGGGUUGUAAACUUCUUUUAUAAAGGAAUAAAACGAGGCACGUGUGCCUUUUUGCAUGUACUUUAUGAAUAAGCAUCGGCUAACUCCGUGCCAGCAGCCGCGGUAAUACGGAGGAUCCGAGCGUUAUCCGGAUUUACUGGGGUUAAAGGGAGCGUAGAAGGCAGUGCAAGUCUGGCGUGAAAGUUGGGGGCUCAACCACAGAAUUGCUGUUGAAACUGGAAGGCUUGAGUGUGUGUGAGGUAGGCGGAAUGCGUGGUGUAGCGGUGAAAUGCAUAGAUAUCACGCAGAACUCCAGUUGCGAAGGCAGCUUACUGGGCCGUAACUGACGCUGAGGCACGAAAGCGUGGGGAUCAAACAGGAUUAGAUACCCUGGUAGUC